UUCGGGAUUAUUGGGCGUAAGCGCGCGCAGGUGGUUUCUUAAGUCUGAUGUGAAAGCCCACGGCUCAACCGUGGAGGGUCAUUGGAAACUGGGAGACUUGAGUGCAGAAGAGGAAAGUGGAAUUCCAUGUGUAGCGGUGAAAUGCGUAGAGAUAUGGAGGAACACCAGUGGCGAAGGCGACUUUCUGGUCUGUAACUGACACUGAGGCGCGAAAGCGUGGGGAGCAAACAGGAUUAGAUACCCUGGUAGUCCACGCCGUAAACGAUGAGUGCUAAGUGUUAGAGGGUUUCCGCCCUUUAGUGCUGAAGUUAACGCAUUAAGCACUCCGCCUGGGGAGUACGGCCGCAAGGCUGAAACUCAAAGGAAUUGAC
rnacentral:rRNA from 1 species